UAGUCCACGCCCUAAACGAUGAGGACUGGCUGUCGGCGCUAUAGACGCGUCGGUAGCGAAGCUAACGCGUUAAGUUCUCCGCCUGGGGAGUACGACCGCAAGGUUGAAACUCAAAGGAAUUGACGGGGGCCCGCACAAGCGGUGGAGCAUGUGGUUUAAUUCAAUGCAACGCGAAGAACCUUACCAUCCCUUGACAUCCUCAGAAUGAUCUGUAAUCGAUCAGUGCCUUCGGGAACUGAGUGACAGGUGCUGCACGGCUGUCGUCAGCUCGUGUCGUGAGAUGUUGGGUUAAGUCCCGCAACGAGCGCAACCCCUAUCUAUAGUUGCCAGCACGUAAUGGUGGGAACUCUAUAGAGACUGCCGGUGACAAACCGGAGGAAGGUAAGGAUGACGUCAAGUCAGCAUGCCCCUUAUGCUCUGGGCUACACACGUGCUACAAUGGCCGUGACAAAGAGUUGCUACUUUGUGAAACAAGCUAAUCUCAUAAACGCGG
rnacentral:rRNA from 1 species